rnacentral:lncRNA from 1 species
CAAUGGUUCAUUCAUUAGUUAUUGAAGUUUAAAUCUACUGUAAGAAUUACCAAGGUUUAUUUAAAGAUUUAGUUAGGAUAUGUUUAGGAUUCGAUUAGGAUUUGAUUAGGAUCUGAUUAGGAUUUCACUAAGAUUUGUUAUGAAUUUUUCUAGGAUUUGGUCAGAAACUAUUUUAGAUUUUAUUAGAAUUUGGUUAGAAUUUGUUUAGGAUUUGAUUAGGAUUUGAUUAGGAUUUAUUUAAAAUUUGACAAGGAUUUAGUUAGGAUUGUUUUGGAUUUGAUUAGGAUUUGAUUAGAAUUUAUUUAAGGUUUGACUAUGAUAUAUUUAGGAUUUAUUUAGAAUUUGUGUGAGUGGA